GAGACCCUUCUUCAGACAGAGGGUCACGGGAGUCAUAGAGAUAUGGAAGGGUAAGGUGUGAAAAUCACAGAUCAAAGCAGCUGUUGAUAAUGAAAUGUAGAAUGGUUCACUAUGAGCUGAGGGGAAGGUGACAACGAGGCAUACAAUCAUUAAUAUCA